rnacentral:rRNA from 1 species
ACUGCGAGUGAAGCGGGAAAAGCCCAGACUGAAAAUCUUCGGAAUUGUAGUCUGGAGAAGUAUGGUCAGCCGAUGAUGAUGAGUGAAGUCUUCUGGAAAGGAGCGCCUUGGAGGGUGAUAGCCCCGUUCAUACUUAUCAUUAGAAGCGUACGACCUGCUUUCUACGAGCCGUGUUGUUUGGGACUGCAGCACUAAGUGGGUGGUAAAUUCCAUCUAAAGCUAAAUAUUGGUGGGAGACCGAUAGCGAACAAGUACCGUGAGGGAAAGAUGCAAAGAACUUUGAAAAGAGAGUUAAAUAGUACCUGAAAUUGCUGAAAUGGAACCGAUGGGAAGCAGUGUCGGUGGCGGGUAUUUAUACCUGUCACAAGCCAGGCUUCUUUUCUGGUGCGGGAAAGGCUGAUAAACUAGUUUAGGUUAUCUACGCCGUCGCGCUAGCGAAG